AAAAAAGGUAAGCUACUAAGAGCGAAUGGUGGAUGCCUUGACUGGUAAAGGCGAUGAAGGACGUACUAGACUGCGAUAAGCUACGGGGAGCUGUCAAGAAGCUUUGAUCCGUAGAUUUCCGAAUGGGGCAACCCAAUGUAUAGAGAUAUACAUUACCUAUAUAGGAGCGAACGAGGGGAAUUGAAACAUCUUAGUACCCUCAGGAAAAGAAAUCAAUAGAGAUUGCGUCAGUAGCGGCGAGCGAAAGCGCAAGAGGGCAAACCCAGUGCUUGCACUGGGGGUUGUAGGACUGCAAUGUGCAAGAGGUGAGUUUAGCAGAACAUUCUGGAAAGUAUAGCCAUAGAGGGUGAUAGUCCCGUAUGCGAAAAACAAACCUUAGCUAGCAGUAUCCUGAGUAGGGCGGGACACGAGAAAUCCUGUCUGAAGCUGGGUCGACCACGAUCCAACCCUAAAUACUAAUACCAGAUCGAUAGUGCACAAGUACCGUGAGGGAAAGGUGAAAAGAACUGAGGUGAUCAGAGUGAAAUAGAACCUGAAACCAUUUGCUUACAAUCAUUCAGAGCCCUAUGUAGCAAUACAGGGUGAUGGACUGCCUUUUGCAUAAUGAGCCUGCGAGUUGUGGUGUCUGGCAAGGUUAAGCAAACGCGAAGCCGUAGCGAAAGCGAGUCUGAAUAGGGCGCUUAGUCAGAUGCUGCAGACCCGAAACGAAGUGAUCUAUCCAUGAGCAAGUUGAAGCUAGUGUAAGAACUAGUGGAGGACUGAACCCAUAGGCGUUGAAAAGCCCCGGGAUGACUUGUGGAUAGGGGUGAAAGGCCAAUCAAACUUCGUGAUAGCUGGUUCUCUCCGAAAUAUAUUUAGGUAUAGCGUUGUGUCGUAAUAUAAGGGGGUAGAGCACUGAAUGGGCUAGGGCAUACACCAAUGUACCAAACCCUAUCAAACUCCGAAUACCUUAUAUGUAAUCACAGCAGUCAGGCGGCGAGUGAUAAAAUCCGUCGUCAAGAGGGAAACAACCCAGACUACCAGCUAAGGUCCCUAAAUCUUACUUAAGUGGAAAACGAUGUGAAGUUACUUAAACAACCAGGAGGUUGGCUUAGAAGCAGCCAUCCUUUAAAGAAAGCGUAAUAGCUCACUGGUCUAGUGAUUUUGCGCGGAAAAUAUAACGGGGCUAAAGUAAGUACCGAAGCUGUAGACUUGCGCACAACUUAGAUUAUUUAAGUUUAGAAUAUGAGAAACUAAGUUAUAUGUUUAGUUAUAUUUUUACUGAUUUUUAUAGAGUAAAGAUAGAAAUAAAACUUAGUAAAAUCAGUAAAAAUAUUCUUAGACUAAAGUUAAGUAGUUUAAGUUGUGUGCAAGUGGUAGGAGAGCGUUCUAUUUGCGUCGAAGGUAUACCGGUAAGGAGUGCUGGAGCGAAUAGAAGUGAGCAUGCAGGCAUGAGUAGCGAUAAUUAAUGUGAGAAUCAUUAACGCCGUAAACCCAAGGUUUCCUACGCGAUGCUCGUCAUCGUAGGGUUAGUCGGGUCCUAAGUCGAGUCCGAAAGGGGUAGACGAUGGCAAAUUGGUUAAUAUUCCAAUACCAACAUUAGUGUGCGAUGGAAGGACGCUUAGGGCUAAGGGGGCUAGCGGAUGGAAGUGCUAGUCUAAGGUCGUAGGAGGUUAUACAGGCAAAUCCGUAUAACAAUACUCCGAGAACUGAAAGGCUUUUUGAAGUCUUCGGAUGGAUAGAAGAACCCCUGAUGCCGUCGAGCCAAGAAAAGUUUCUAAGUUUAGCUAAUGUUGCCCGUACCGUAAACCGACACAGGUGGGUGGGAUGAGUAUUCUAAGGCGCGUGGAAGAACUCUCUUUAAGGAACUCUGCAAAAUAGCACCGUAUCUUCGGUAUAAGGUGUGGUUCGCUUCGUAUUAGGAUUUACUCCGAAAGCGAAGAAACUUACAACAAAGAGUCCCUCCCGACUGUUUACCAAAAACACAGCACUCUGCUAACUCGUAAGAGGAUGUAUAGGGUGUGACGCCUGCCCGGUGCUCGAAGGUUAAUUGAUGGGGUUAGCAUUAGCGAAGCUCUUGAUCGAAGCCCGAGUAAACGGCGGCCGUAACUAUAACGGUCCUAAGGUAGCGAAAUUCCUUGUCGGUUAAAUACCGACCUGCAUGAAUGGCGUAACGAGAUGGGAGCUGUCUCAAAGAGGGAUCCAGUGAAAUUGUAGUGGAGGUGAAAAUUCCUCCUACCCGCGGCAAGACGGAAAGACCCCGUGGACCUUUACUACAGCUUGACACUGCUAUUUGGAUAAGAAUGUGCAGGAUAGGUGGGAGGCUUUGAGUAUAUGACGCCAGUUGUAUAUGAGCCAUUGUUGAGAUACCACUCUUUCUUAUUUGGGUAGCUAACCAGCUUGAGUUAUCCUCAAGUGGGACAAUGUCUGGUGGGUAGUUUGACUGGGGCGGUCGCCUCCCAAAUAAUAACGGAGGCUUACAAAGGUUGGCUCAGAACGGUUGGAAAUCGUUCGUAGAGUAUAA
rnacentral:rRNA from 1 species